CAAAUCCGCCUUAAACAAAGAAAUUUUUCCUUUAUACGAAGCGUUGCUGUACCUGUAAAAAAUACAAUACUACAACCAGUAGUAUAGAGCGGCUAGGAAACAAAACAUAGCCAGGUAGAAAAAAAAACCGUUCACUAUACAUACAACGUUCAGAAAACAAAAGCUCGCCCAACAAGAUAAAACAGUAGUAUGUACAUGAACACAAAAUCUACAACUACCUGUAGUUUGUGCUCUGCUAACUCGACAACUUGUCUAGUAAGGCUCUAACUCGCAACGC
rnacentral:lncRNA from 1 species